AUUGAACGCUGGCGGAAUGCUUUACACAUGCAAGUCGAACGGCAGCACGGGGGCAGCCCUGGUGGCGAGUGGCGAACGGGUGAGUAAUACAUCGGAACGUGCCCGGUCGUGGGGGAUAACGUAGCGAAAGUUACGCUAAUACCGCAUACGAUCUGAGGAUGAAAGCGGGGGACCUUCGGGCCUCGCGCGAUCGGAGCGGCCGAUGUCAGAUUAGGUAGUUGGUGGGGUAAAGGCCUACCAAGCCGACGAUCUGUAGCUGGUCUGAGAGGACGACCAGCCACACUGGGACUGAGACACGGCCCAGACUCCUACGGGUGGCAGCAGUGGGGAAUUUUGGACAAUGGGCGCAAGCCUGAUCCAGCCAUUCCGCGUGCAGGACGAAGGCCUUCGGGUUGUAAACUGCUUUUGUACGGAACGAAAAGGCUCUGGCUAAUACCUGGGGCUCAUGACGGUACCGUAAGAAUAAGCACCGGCUAACUACGUG
rnacentral:rRNA from 1 species